GUAGGCGCUCUCCCGGGGUGCUCCUCCGAGUCCUCUGGCUCUUGCCUAGACGGAAGGGGCACAUCUUCCAGCUGAGCACUGGGGGCCCCGGGCAAACCUAGGGCUGGAGGAAGAAUGCGCCGGGACCCCGGGCGGAAGAAGAUGGAAUGGAAGGGGGACCCAGAACCCUCCCUGCCCCUUUCUCCUCCUUCUCCUGUUUGCGUUCUUGGGAGGUUCAUGAGGAUGGGUUUAUGAAUUACCGCUUGGUGGGCUGGGAAACUCGCCCUGAAGGUGAAGUGUGUCUGCUAAAGGUUACGCGGCAGGUCAGGAAGCCGGAGUCAAUCUAGACACUCCCCUAACUCAGAAUCCAGAGAACCCUUCCCGGGCAGCUUGAGAGGGAAGUCUACAAGUUCUUCCACCUUCCGGCUAGGUCCAGACUCGGGAAAGCUUUCGUGCCCUUAUGCUCACCAAUUCCCCAGCCCUUCAAAUAAGCCUGACUUGGAGACCCCUGCCAGCCUCAGUCUCCCAGGCCUGGGUUCUGCCCUUCCUCCCUGGUUUACGGUGGUGGAUUGUUUGCGGAAGUACAUACCUCCCCAGAGCCAGCCGCUUAGAGUUUCUUCCUUGCUGCUGACAGUAGGGGAGGUAGAGCUAAAGUGGGGGUGGGGUGCGAUGCAGGAAAAGGUAGUCAGCCUGAGGCUGAAGUUCUCACGGAGCCUAACUCAGCACGAUGAGUCUCUUUGAGCCUCCUUAACUACUCUUGUGUCGACUGCAGUGGGAUCCAGGCCCAGCAUACCAUAUUCAUCGUGGAAUCCGUUGAAUGAGCAACCGUCUACCCUUCCAUCCUCACCCCCACCUCCCAAUAUUCCCAGCAUAGUGUCAUCAGGGGAAAGCAGGUCAGGCAGAAAGAAAGAGAAGCUGUGACAUUCCUAAAGUUGGCAAGCCUAGCUUCCUGGUCUUGGAAUUUGGGGCUGGGUUGUAAUCUGGUGAGAGUCUGUUGAGAAAAUCAGUCCAUCUCUGCACCACACCAUCCAGCCCUUCUUGGAGGAAAGCCCUGUUUGUGCAGUUUGCUGAGGUGUUCCCGUUGAAGGUGUUCGGCUAUCAGCCAGAUCCCAUGGGCUAUCAAGAGGCUGUGGGCUGGCUGGAACUGCUGGCUGGGCUGCUGCUGGUCCUGGGCCCACCGAUGCUGCAAGAGAUCAGUAACUUGCUUUUGACCCUGCUCAUGAUGGAACCAGGAGCCCUCCCUGCUGUACUCUAUUUUCCAUGGCCUUUGGACUAGGACAGGAGCCAUCUUCACCCUGGCAUCUCUGAAAGAGUCACCGAACACCUACAUCCCAGCAGUCAUCUGCCUGGGGCUCCUGCUGCUGCUGGA